AUUGAACGCUGGCGGCAUGCUUUACACAUGCAAGUCGAACGGUAACAGGGAGCUUGCUCCGCUGACGAGUGGCGAACGGGUGAGUAAUGCAUCGGAACGUACCCAGUCGUGGGGGAUAACGUAGCGAAAGUUACGCUAAUACCGCAUACGUCCUGAGGGAGAAAGCGGGGGACCGAAAGGCCUCGCGCGAUUGGAGCGGCCGAUGUCGGAUUAGCUAGUUGGUAGGGUAAAGGCCUACCAAGGCGACGAUCCGUAGCGGGUCUGAGAGGAUGAUCCGCCACACUGGGACUGAGACACGGCCCAGACUCCUACGGGAGGCAGCAGUGGGGAAUUUUGGACAAUGGGCGAAAGCCUGAUCCAGCCAUGCCGCGUGAGUGAAGAAGGCCUUCGGGUUGUAAAGCUCUUUCAGCCGGAAAGAAAUCGCACAGGCUAAUACUUUGUGUGGAUGACGGUACCGGAAGAAGAAGCACCGGCUGACUACGUGCCAGCAGCCGCGGUAAUACGUAGGGUGCGAGCGUUAAUCGGAAUUACUGGGCGUAAAGCGUGCGCAGGCGGUUAUGUAAGACAGAUGUGAAAUCCCCGGGCUCAACCUGGGAACUGCGUUUGUGACUGCAUAACUAGAGUACGGCAGAGGGAGGUGGAAUUCCGCGUGUAGCAGUGAAAUGCGUAGAUAUGCGGAGGAACACC
rnacentral:rRNA from 1 species